rnacentral:rRNA from 1 species
GACGAACGCUGGCGGCGUGCUUAACACAUGCAAGUCGAACGGUAAGCCUCUUCGGUUGGGAUCUGCUCGAAAGGCGAACGUGUGAGUAACACGAGCUUAACCCGCCCCUGGGAUUAGUCUAACUUCUGGGGACUAAUGCCGGAUCUUCACCGCUUCUCGUGCGGCAGGGGGUGGGUUGGAUAGUUUCGUGGGUUGGGGAUGGACUCGCGGCUUAUCAGCUUGUUGGUGGGGUAGUGGCCUACCAAGGCCUUGACGGGUAGCCGGCCUGAGAGGGUGACCGGCCACACUGGGACUGAGAUACGGCCCAGACUCCUACGGGAGGCAGCAGUGGGGAAUAUUGCGCAAUGGGCGGAAGCCUGAUGCAGCAACGCCGCGUGCGGGAUGACGGCCUUCGGGUUGUAAACCGCUUUCGCCAGGGACGAAGCGUGAGUGACGGUAAUGGGUAAAGAAGCACCGGCUAACUACGUG